rnacentral:sRNA from 1 species
CUCAAACCCUUGAGACUGAUGUUCCCUCUAUUUAUCCACACAACAGGUAUAACAGUAGUUCAGGAUUCCUCACUGUGCCCAAAAGCGUGCCUCAAUCCUUGCCUGAUGGGACCAUAUCUAGGGAUGAGAGAAAGUAGUCUAUUCUCCACAGUCCUACAGCCCUUGGUCUCU